AAACAUUUGCAGUGAUUGUGGUUGUUGCAAUUAGUGACUGUCUCAGACACCUGGAACAGAGCUAGCCUGUGAGCCUUGGCAGUUAGACAUCAUUUACCUGCUUUUCAGAGUCUCUGUAACAGGACUGCCUCAAGGAUCUGACAGGAGGAAUUGAGUAUGCUGCCAAGAUAUUAAAUGAAAUUCCCCAGAAAGACAUUCAGUGUUCUAAAAGAGCCUCAAAGGCAGAAAGGGAAGGAAAUGGGCAAGACGGAGGGUGAUGUCUGCUCUGUGGGAGAAGGAAGGAACAACUCUACCCUAACUCCCCAGCAUGUUCUCACAAACCGAAGAGUUUCAUCGGACAAAGACACUGCGCAUUUUACUGAGAGAACGGUUUGCUGGAUCACUGGCUUAUAGAUUGAUGAACACCAGAUGGAACUUGUGCAGAAUGUUUUCUGCAGUACUUUAAGCCACAUGGUGAAGAAAACAGUCAAGAGAAUGAAGAGUUCAGAGAGAACACUGACAAAACACACACAGCUUCAAAACCCUUGACUCUGCAAUAACAUUUAAGCCCUGCAUAAGAGGUAUGGAUAGUAAAAGGAAGUUUGAACAGCUGAGAGUCUGCAUCAAGGCUUGACACCAGACAUGGACCAGAAUGAUCUGAUAUUUCAGAAGUGUCACAGACAGAAGAGAAAAGUUACUUGCAGAUUUUGGACUCUUUGGUGUAUGCUCAAUUAUGCUCCAUUGGACAAAGAAAGGUGGAAGAUUGGCCAGAAAAAUUUGAACUUGCUUGACAUGCAUAAAUUAUUCUGCCUCGUGUUAAUUCCAGCUCUACAUUGGCUUCAUAUCCCCCUU